CGACCUCACUCCGGCUCAGUUCAGGUUGCGGGUGGCGGGUUAACCGAAACAAGAACGUGGCUGCUAGCCAAACCGAAGUUAGUGGAUCAAUCGAAAGAACGGGCAUAUUUAUUGUGAAAGACAAAGCUAACGAAAAAACAACAAUAAGACGGAGGAGGGCCACGUUGGGAAAAGAGCACUCCACCGACAUCAGCGGCUGAAUGCUAACUGCUAGCAUGGAAUUAGCCUGCCGCUAAUGCCACCAGCCGCUAUGUUACCUGGGUCAGGCUCAUUCCUCAGGUUUGGACGUUUGGUCUUAAGUGUAAACAGUAACACACCAAGAUAACCCAGGACAUUAUCAUACAGCAGUUGUCCAUUGCCUGGGAGUUGGGUGUCAUGGUGGAUAUUUCUGUGGAAAGGACCUCGGCAGACAGCAACACACACCUGGGUCUCAGAGUCUGAUGACUUCUUGCCUGCUGCCUUGUCCUUGUCUGGGUUUGGAGAUUGGUCCUUGGUCUUGAAGGGGCCGUGAUCCUCAGAGUUGGUACGGAGAGGGCUGGGUCGCUGAACAGAGUCUGACGCCACCCUUCCUGAAAACAAGAGAGAGAGAAGAUUAAAAUGACAGAGGCCACUGCCCAUCAUCUGCACUCCCGGGUACCGCCUCCCUCCCUGAGGACUGCCCCUGCCAUCUGAACCCUCCCAAGGCUCGUCUAUGGAGUCUGGUGUCCUCAGCUCUUCUGAUCGGUCUGAGCUGCUGCUGUAGUCUGUGGGCUGUGAGCGACUGGAGGCAUCUCUAAAGUGGACACAGAACUUAUUUGUGAAGCUAAGGUGCUGGGCUCUUCACUGCAACCUUUGGUGAGGAGGGUUCCUCAGGGAUGGUAGAAGCUGGCACUGAAAUUCCAGAGGCCGAGG